rnacentral:lncRNA from 1 species
GUGAGUUCGCUAGGUCGCUUUUCCUGCCCUCCGCGAAUUGAGGGGACCACUUGAUUUGAAAAGCCCUCGCUGGCCUCUGCCUGACUUGGGGUUGUCCUUUCCUCACAGGCUGAGCCGGCGGGGCAGUGUCGUAAUCCCAACCACCGCCAUCGUGGUUGCGCGCGUGUGGAGCCUCACUUGGACCAGCGGGAAUCAUUGUCGCUUUCGGCUUAUUUCAAGACCCUCCCCUUCUGCACGUCCAGGGUUCUAGUCUGUCACAUGCUCUACCCCCACCUAGUGCCAAGACCUGGGACUCCUGGGACUAAUGCAAAGCCUGUCCCUAAGCAGACCUUUUUUUUUUUUUAAUUUUAUGACCUUAGAAAGUUUGCUGACUGAAAAACCGCUUUGUGCUGGGCAUGCGCAGAUCAGGUUCCAGCCGCGCCGCUCUGGAGUGGGAUGGGGGACUUAUUACAUAUACUUGUGACCGUUAGGCUUUUCUUAAGUGGAUUGCAAGUGAAAGUUGCUGGUACUCCCUGAACAUUGGCCUUUAUGAUUUUCCCCUUUCUUUCGUGUUCUUUUUCUAUGUGUAUCUACCUCCUUAUUAGAUUAGAAGCAGAUGGGGUAGGCAGGGGUCCCUAGAUGUGCAGCUUGCUAGGUCUCAAGGCUGUAAACCAGGACAGUAAAAAAGGAGUUAAGACUAGACCCCCCAUAAUCGCAUCCGAAACCUCCUUCCCUGGACAAAACAUGUUUUUUUGUUGUUGUUGUUGUUUUGUUUGUUUGUUUUUGUACUAGGGGUUGAACUCAGAGGCACUCGACCACAGAGCCACAUCCCCAACCCUAUUCUGUAUUUUAUUUAGAGACAGAGUCUCUCUGAGUUGCUUAGUGCCUCACUUUUUGCUGAGGCUGGCUUUGAACCCAUGAUCCUCCCAUCUCAGCCUCUGGAGCCACUGGGAUUACAGGCGUGCCCCACCAUGCCCGGCAAAAUAUGCUUUCUUAAUCUUACUUGUAAUGCCCUUCACCAAUCCCCAUCUUCCUCCUACAGGACCCCCUGGCACUGCCAUUUUUUUCACCCUUGCUGCCUCCUAGGAGAGCCCUGUGUACCUCUUUACUCUCUCCAUCAUCAACAGGUUCUUGGGCAGCAAUGUACUUGACUCAGGGCCUGCAUCCCAAUUCAUUUCUGCCAGACUGACUAUAGAAACUGUCCCUGAACCAUCUCUUGGACUCCAGCCUAUAUGCACAGACUUUCCAGGCCAUUACAGUCUCCAGUUCCAGCCCAUCCUGAAUUCCCCAGUGUACCCUCUGUGUCAUCAUCAAGACCCACUCAGCUCCUGUUCUGCCAGGUAUCAACUGGUCAUUUAUCCUCCCAUUUUUCCCCUUUCAUUUUCUCCUCAUAUUGUUGUUCUGUUGUCACCAUUUCACAGAGUAGGAAACUUGAAUAAGUCUUUUAAAACAUAUGGCAUGUUAUAUUUGCUCAGAACUAGCUGGCAUCUCCCUAUUACACUUAAAUAAUAGUCCAAAGUCCUUAUUAUGGUCUCCAAGAUCCUACAAAUAAAAUCCUUGUUCCCUCUCAUCUCUUCCUACUGUUCCUACUUUCUUCCUGUCCCACUACUCCAGGGAAUUCUAUCCCCUUCCUCUCUCAGGACUUCUUCCUGCCUCAAGAUCCACUGUAGGGUGGACAAGACAUAGGCCUGGAAUCAGGCAGGCCUGAGUUUGAUCCUAGAUCUUCUGCUUACUGGCUCUGUCACCUGGAGUAAUUGACUUCACCUCUCCAGACUUCAAUUCCUCCUCUGAAACAGAGCUACUUAUGUUUACUUGGCAGGAUUGUGUGAGGAUGUAGCGAGGAGAUGUGAGUAAAGAGUACUAGGCAACUGUUCUCUACCAAUCUCUCAUUUAUGCAGGUUUUGCAGGAGCAGAGACACAAAAGAGUAUGUACCUUUAUUCUGGACUAUCUUAAAGUAUGUUUGUAUAGUGUACAGCCUUGGACUGUAGAAAUAAUGGCUCCUUCUAGAGCAAAGGGCUGCUAUACCCACUGUCCCUUAUAAAAGAUCUGGGUUCUCUGUAAUUCAACUCACCAUGCGUAGGCAUCUAUGCAGGCCCCCUUCAAUAGACUUGGAAGGGGGAAGUAAUAGAUAUGCUUACAUUCAUGUUGCUUGCUGUGCUGUAAUAAAGUCCUUUGUCU